GGGGAAUUAGCUCAGUUGGGAGAGCGCGACAAUGGCAUUGUUGAGGUCAGGGGUUCAAAUCCCCUAUUCUCCA
rnacentral:tRNA from 1 species